UUUUUAAGUGUUGUCUAAAAUUUUUAAUGUUUCUUAAAAAAACAAAAAUAACCCAAACGGCAAGGCUAACUAUUAUGCGGAGAAAAAGGGGAGAAAAAAAAAAAAGAGUCUCUCGUUCCUAGCAAAACCCCAACCCUAACGAAAUCCCUAACCCCAAUCCAUUCCAAAUGAUUCAUUCUUCUCUUGUUCUUCAAUCCAUUCGAUGAUGACGCGUAUUCCUUUAUUGAGCUUCGAUCUCAAUCUCUGCUCGCGAAUGAGCUUCGAUCUUCUCUGCUCGCGAAUAAGCUUCGAUUCUCUGCUCGUUGAGCUUCGAUCCUCUGCUCCUCUUCUUGUUGAGCUUCUAUUAUUCUCUGCUCGUUGAGCUUCGAUUCUCUGCUCGUUGAGCUUCAAUCCUCUGCUAAUUGAGCUUCGAUCUUCUCUGCUCGUGUUCAUCACCGCCGGUCACUGUUCGAUUAUCACUGCUCGCAUUUUUUGUAAGAUUCUCGUUUUUGGCAUUCUUCUGCAGCCGAUUAAAUCACGAACCUAACAGAAAUUUUGCAAUAGCCGGCAGCAGAGGCUGUAAAUCGCUUCUGUCACCGUCAUCGUUGUAUAGCUCGAAGGAAGCACCAGCUUCACAAUCGGCAUCAUUGCUAAGGCCACGGAAUUGUGGAAACCUUGGUGACUGGAAUGGGAGACGUCGGAUAAGGGGCUGAAAAAGUGGUCCGGAGAUGGCAAAAAUCAUGUUCCUCUCUUUUUGUGUUCAUCUAUACUGCCAUCACAAUUGAAGAACAAAAAUGGUAGCAAAAGAGAUGUGUUUCUUCAACAAGACCCUGAUUUUUCUUCUAUUCAAAGUUAGAAUAGGACAUUUUAAUACAUAUAUUUAACAACUCACCUAUUUGUAUAAGAGUAUCAUGUCUAAACAAUAUUGAUGUCACAGGUUUCGCAGAAGCUGGGCUUAUUGAAAGCAAGCUUUCAAGACGUGAUAUACAGUUGUUUACAGAUGAAAACGGUGGCCCAUUUUAAUUACUUCUCUCCUGAAAGCCCUUUAUCACGCCAAGAUCUUGUUAGUUAAAAAAUAGCCAUGGAGAAGACACAGCUUCCUGAAGCUGAUAAAAAGGUUUCUUAACUUGUUACUUUGAUAUGCUCAACUAUACUCUUGAUUCAAGUUACAUUGAACUGAUAUGCUUGCGUUCAUCAAA